rnacentral:rRNA from 1 species
AAGCCGCUUCGGUGGUGGAUUAGUGGCGAACGGGUGAGUAACACGUGGGCAAUCUGCCCUUCACUCUGGGACAAGCCCUGGAAACGGGGUCUAAUACCGGAUAACACUCUGUCCCGCAUGGGACGGGGUUAAAAGCUCCGGCGGUGAAGGAUGAGCCCGCGGCCUAUCAGCUUGUUGGUGGGGUAAUGGCCUACCAAGGCGACGACGGGUAGCCGGCCUGAGAGGGCGACCGGCCACACUGGGACUGAGACACGGCCCAGACUCCUACGGGAGGCAGCAGUGGGGAAUAUUGCACAAUGGGCGAAAGCCUGAUGCAGCGACGCCGCGUGAGGGAUGACGGCCUUCGGGUUGUAAACCUCUUUCAGCAGGGAAGAAGCGAAAGUGACGGUACCUGCAGAAGAAGCGCCGGCUAACUACGUGCCAGCAGCCGCGGUAAUACGUAGGGCGCAAGCGUUGUCCGGAAUUAUUGGGCGUAAAGAGCUCGUAGGCGGCUUGUCACGUCGGAUGUGAAAGCCCGGGGCUUAACCCCGGGUCUGCAUUCGAUACGGGCUAGCUAGAGUGUGGUAGGGGAGAUCGGAAUUCCUGGUGUAGCGGUGAAAUGCGCAGAUAUCAGGAGGAACACCGGUGGCGAAGGCGGAUCUCUGGGCCAUUACUGACGCUGAGGAGCGAAAGCGUGGGGAGCGAACAGGAUUAGAUACCCUGGUAGUCCACGCCGUAAACGUUGGGAACUAGGUGUUGGC